rnacentral:lncRNA from 1 species
UUCUCCCUCACGCCGCUCCUCGCGCCCGUUCGCAUCUCGCUGGUCGCUCUUUGCCCGCACCCCGUAGCGGCGCAGCUCGCUCGCAGGUCGCUCGUCGCCCUCUCGCUCUCUCCCUCGUCGUCGUUCCCUGCUCCGCCGUAUCCAUGGCGAACUUCGGCGGGUAAGAGGUCACAUGUGGUGGGUUUCGUCCUCAAUCUUGACCCUCUCUCCUCCUCUCUGCCCUCAAUCUCCCCCUCUUCUCUAUCAGAUUUGGUGGUUCCCGCCCUCAAUCUGCAUCUGUUCCCUUGUUCUUGAUCUCUGAGCGUGAGAGGCAAUUCCUCCCCGACUGCUCCGCGUCUUUUGUCUGUCAUUCUCAUCGCCGGCUAGCGCACCCUCCGGGGCUCCGGUCUCCGUUGAGGUACCGGGGGUGUGCUCACGGUCCUUCCCGUCGUCUC